rnacentral:rRNA from 1 species
CCUACGGGGGGCUGCAGUGGGGAAUAUUGGACAAUGGGGGGAACCCUGAUCCAGCCAUGCCGCGUGUGUGAAGAAGGCCCUCGGGUUGUAAAGCACUUUCAGUGAGGAAGAACGCCUGGUGGUUAAUACCCAUCAGGAAAGACAUCACUCACAGAAGAAGCACCGGCUAACUCCGUGCCAGCAGCCGCGGUAAUACGGAGGGUGCGAGCGUUAAUCGGAAUUACUGGGCGUAAAGCGCGCGUAGGUGGCUUGAUAAGCCGGUUGUGAAAGCCCCGGGCUCAACCUGGGAACGGCAUCCGGAACUGUCAAGCUAGAGUGCAGGAGAGGAAGGUAGAAUUCCCGGUGUAGCGGUGAAAUGCGUAGAGAUCGGGAGGAAUACCAGUGGCGAAGGCGGCCUUCUGGACUGACACUGACACUGAGGUGCGAAAGCGUGGGUAGCAAACAGGAUUAGAUACCCCAGUAGUC